UGCGUCAUAGUUCAACGGAAGAGAAUACCUGGUUUCGACCCAGAUGAUGAAGGUUCGACUCCUUCUGACGCAA
rnacentral:tRNA from 1 species